rnacentral:lncRNA from 1 species
CUGAAAGUCUGGGUGAGUGCUGCCUUUAAAAUUAAACAAAAAAGGGGUUUUCCUUUGGGAGCUGUGGGACGAGAUGCUCCUGUCUUCAUGCAUUGUUUCUGCCUUUCUUUUGUAGAGAGAAGAAAUGCAGAGUUCGCAGAGAAACUAGCUUCAGAUCUGGAGAGAAGGAAUGCACAGUUGGAUAAACUAGCUUCAGACCUGGGUGAGUGCUCCCUCCCAAAUUAAAUUAAAAAUGGGUUCUUCCUGCGUGAGCUGUGGGAUGAACUGUUCCUCUCAUCAUGUGGUGCUUUCUUCAUGCUUUUCCAGUGCAACAAACCAAAGCAGUGGGUGAGUCUUCUUCCCUGAACCAAAGGAAGUUGGCCUUCCCCAUGGGAUGACAAAGCUGUCCCACCUCAUCAUGCAUUCCUUUUCCUUUGUUUUUUUUUUUUUUUUUUUUUUCCUCCAGAGAAAUUGAAUUCACAGUGGAGUAAGCUGCAGUCAUUAAAACUGACCAAAUCUGACACCAUCCAAAAUAACUGCAUAGGCUAUGAAAAAUCCCCCCAGGCCGUGAACUACUCUCCUCUUUCUAACCCAGAGAAACACCACGAAGCAAAGAGGCGAUGGUAUAUAAAGUCUGAUUAUCCUCAGUACCCAAACCAAAGAGGUGUGGGUCCUGCACAUGUGGGCACACAUGGGACUCCAAUCUGACCCAGAAAAACAAUCUGAAGAAUCACACUGAGAUAUUAAAUGCACCUCAGUUACCACUGGUGUUAAAAAUCCAUACUGGAAGAAGAGGAGACAGUGUUUGUAUUGAGUGAGAACACUGCAGUUCUGUGAGCCAAAGCUGCCUGAGAAACCACCGAACUGAGGGUGUGUGACCUCCAACUCAAAUCCAAUUGGAAGAAAGAAACCACAGGAAGGAAGAAAAUGGGUGGAAGACAGAGAUCCUGGAAAAGAUAUGGGCAUUUUGGGAAACAGUGUGACCACGUAUCAGGAUUCAUGGAAAUCCAAUGAAUAUGUAAGGCUUUCGGAAAAGCAUGCACACAGAAGCAGAGGUAGAAAACUGCUUUGGGUAUUAACCCCAUUCUCUUUUGUAAUAUAAUAAAGGAUACCUGCAGGUGGUA